UACGUAGGGUGCGAGCGUUGUCCGGAAUUAUUGGGCGUAAAGAGCUCGUAGGCGGCCUGUCGCGUCGGAUGUGAAAGCCCGGGGCUUAACCCCGGGUCUGCAUUCGAUACGGGCAGGCUAGAGUGUGGUAGGGGAGAUCGGAAUUCCUGGUGUAGCGGUGAAAUGCGCAGAUAUCAGGAGGAACACCGGUGGCGAAGGCGGAUCUCUGGGCCAUUACUGGCGCUGAGGAGCGAAAGCGUGGGGAGCGAACAGG
rnacentral:rRNA from 1 species